CUCUCUUGCCUCUUUGCAAACAACAGUGUGCAACCUCUGAGCUAACUGUGGCAACGUUCCACUCCUCUGCCCUGCACACACCGUUUCACCAUGAAGCCCAUCCUGUUUGUUGCUGUCAUCCUGCUGAUCAAUCUGGCUCUGGCUAUUAAUAAUAAGGACACCGACACUCCAGCUCAAACAAAUCAAACUACCCCGAGCACUACGACCACUCAGAGUAAACCAACUAAUCACCAGAUCAUGUGCUGUGGUGGCCCAGCUUCCUUUCUCAUACCACUUGUAUUGGUGAUGAUUUGUCUCGUUCCAGUAUACUGAGCCUGGAGGAGGAUAUGCUCUGGAAAGCUCUCCGGGCCCUCAUGAAGCAUCAAGAAAUGAGUCUUUUCCAAUCCAGCCAGCAUAUUCAUUUUGUCAGCCCAUAAUGCUACACCGUCUGCCAUUCUCUACACCUCAAGAUUUCCUGGCUCAGUCUUCACCACCAUCUUCACCAUUUGCAAAAUUAAAGGGGAAAGCUAAUGGAGAGCUGCUGAGAUAAAUCCCAGAUGCAUGCAUUAAUACAGAGCUGCUCUACACAAUUGAGGUCCAGAAGCCUGAAAGAAGAUGGUUGCCAGACAGAAUUCCUUUUGAUUAAGACAUUUUGAGACUGGUAGAUAAUCCUUCUAAUAUCUCCCCCUGUGCCUUCUUUGAGAAGAGUCAACAUAUCCAUCAUUAACAUCCUCUUAGGCAGACUGCUGUGCAUUAACACCCCAACCCUGUUUUGUGCAUUUCCCAUUUGUUUCAGUGGAGAGGAUUGCCUCAGCCCCAUUGACUGAGAGCUGCCUCCUACUUUGCUCCUUCUGACCUGCCAAAUGAAGGGACCUCCUUGGCUUCUCCCAUGGGAUGACCAUCUGCCGCAGUUUUUGGAAACCUGCUCUCAAGAUGACAGUGAAAGAAGCACUCUCCAAUAUUUGAGAAAGUGUGUAGACAACACUCCGGUCCCGUGGAUGUCCUCUUCAGAAUUUCUUGUGGAGGAGAACAUCAUUUCCAACUUGGCUCACACCAACAGAAGAGGGCAAAGUGGAUUUUGCAAAUCUUCUCUUGGCAUCUCUUGCAACCUUCCCCCACAAUGUUUGGUUUUGUUUAAUAAAUGCAUGCUUCUCGGCUGGC